rnacentral:lncRNA from 1 species
CAAUCAACAAACUCAGUUCUGUAUACUCAUAUAGGAGGAGGGAGAAGGACAAUACUUUAUAAUUCAUGCAGAAACUACAUGGGUUAAGUUUGCCUGAAAUUCCGGUGGUCUCAGCAGCCCAUGGUGAUGAAAGGAUCUGGCCCACUAAAGGAGUCCAGAACCGUGAACUAUUUUAGGCAUGAGUGUGUAUGAGUGGGGAAGACC